CGAACGAACUAGGGUUUAGGACGCGUACAAAUAUCAGUGGAAACGCCUCUUCUCUAGAGAGAUCUUGUGCAAAUCGAGAACAAAGCCCUAACCCAAUAUGAGAGCCAAGUGGAAGAAGAAGCGUAUGAGGAGGCUGAAGAGGAAGCGCCGAAAGAUGAGGCAGAGAUCCAAGUAGACGCAUCUUCCACUGGAUUAGUUUUGCCCCGACAACCCCUCUUCUUCAUGAUUAUCAAGCAUAUGUUGCCUGAAGUUGUUAAGAUAUAAGGGGUUUUCAGGCAAGCUUAUCUGUUUUGUCUUCAAAAUCUAGGUUGAAGUUUUAAGACUGAGAUGUUGUCUAGUACUAUUAGAUGUUAUGUUGGGAUUGUGGUUUGAUCUUUGUAAACGGUUAUCUUUAGCAUCCUGAAUAUUUGAAAUCG